UUACCCUACGGGACGCAGCAGUGAGGAAUAUUGGUCAAUGGGCGCGAGCCUGAACCAGCCAAGUCGCGUGAGGGAUGACGGUCCUACGGAUUGUAAACCUCUUUUGCCGGGGAGCAAGCGUGCGUUCGUGAACGCGCGUCGAGAGUACCCGGAGAAAAAGCAUCGGCUAACUCCGUGCCAGCAGCCGCGGUAAUACGGAGGAUGCGAGCGUUAUCCGGAUUUAUUGGGUUUAAAGGGUGCGUAGGCGGAAGGUUAAGUCAGCGGUCAAAUGUCGGUGCUCAACACCGGCCUGCCGUUGAAACUGG
rnacentral:rRNA from 1 species